AAGGGAGACCUACCCACUCUACAGUCGAAAGCAAACAGCGAAUAGAUUGAGAGUUGGUCAUCCCAAGGUCGUUCGGGUUAUGAGUGUAAGCUUCUAGACUAUUUGGUUCGGUAUAUGGGCUAUUAGCUCAGGUGGUUAGAGCGCACCCCUGAUAAGGGUGAGGUCCCUGGUUCGAAUCCAGGAUGGCCCACCUUAUUCCUUAGAGCCUACUAACUUAGCAAGAUAUUGGUUGUUAGGUAUGUAGAAGAAGAGGAUAAAUCAAGGGGGUUUAGCUCAGUUGGUAGAGCGCCUGCUUUGCACGCAGGAAGUCAGCGGUUCGAAUCCGCUAACCUCCACUGAGAUUGAUAGAUAAGAGCCGAGAGAAUGGAGAUAGGAUUCAGCAAUUCAUCUUGAUAGAACAAGAGAGCCUGCUGGAUGAGAAUCCAGUUAGAACCUUGAAAACUGCAUAGUAACUUGUCAGGUAGUAAGACAAUGACGACUAACGAGAGUUUAAUAACUUUGUAGUUAGAAACGAGUUGUCACUAUCACAGACACCAAUGUAAGCGAGACUCUAGGAAGUUAGCGAAAGCUAAAGACUAGAAGUUAAAAGU
rnacentral:tRNA from 1 species